AUGCUCAUUUCGGCAGCACAUGUACUGAAAUUGGAAUGAUACAGAGAAGAUUACCAUGGCCCCUGCACGAGGAUGACAAGCAAAUUCAUGAAGCUUUUCAUUUAAAA
rnacentral:snRNA from 1 species